AUUGAACGCUGGCGGCAGGCCUAACACAUGCAAGUCGAGCGGAUGAGAGGAGCUUGCUCCUCGAUUCAGCGGCGGACGGGUGAGUAAUGCCUAGGAAUCUGCCCAGUAGUGGGGGACAACGUUUCGAAAGGAACGCUAAUACCGCAUACGUCCUACGGGAGAAAGUGGGGGAUCUUCGGACCUCACGCUAUUGGAUGAGCCUAGGUCGGGUUAGCUAGUUGGUAGGGUAAAGGCCUACCAAGGCGACGAUCCGUAACUGGUCUGAGAGGAUGAUCAGUCACACUGGAAAUGGGACACGGUCCAGACUCCUACGGGAGGCAGCAGUGGGGAAUAUUGGACAAUGGGCGCAAGGCUGAUCCAGCCAUGCCGCGUGUGUGAAGAAGGCCCUCGGGUCGUAAAGCACUUUAAGUUGGGAGGAAGGGCUUACAGCGAAUACCUGUGAGUUUUGACGUUACCGACAGAAUAAGCACCGGCUAACUUCGUGCCAGCCGCCGCAGUAA
rnacentral:rRNA from 1 species